rnacentral:lncRNA from 12 species
CGUCCAUCCCAGGAUCCAGACCAGACUUUGCCAUCUGGCCCACCUCACCUGAUAAAAAGCCAGUCUUCCUGAGAAUCCUUGUUCCAGAUGAGCCAGUGUCUCUUCCAAACUUGGUGUAGAAUUGUGAAAGCUUCGGAAACAUAGGGGGCAAAUUUCAGAAAGCCUGAAAGGACAAAUGACACAUCAUCAGCCAACUAUCAACUCGGGGAAAGAUGAGGGAUUCCAACUCAGGGAUGUCUCCAUGGCAGCGUCUAAAGAGACUUAAUUUCUUGCAGCCAGAAGGCAGACUGUGCUGAAGACCAGGCCCAAGAUUAGAUUGCAAGGAUGAUAGUUACAAAGGAGGCUGUUCACAGUUCCAGCACCUUCCCUACGUGAGGCUCAGUGAGGAGUGAGACUCUGAGAACAGAAGCAGGGGUCCUUGGGUGGAUCUGCCUGAGAACAUUUAAACCUCAGAGUCCCCUCCGCCCUCUGGCUGGCAGCAGAAGCCACUUUCCCUUGGAUAUAGAGGAGCCUGGAAACCCUCCAUUGCCUGGAAACCAUGCAAAGCCCUCCUUCAAGGUGAAGAAUGUGAAAGGCUGUGUGAAGGCAGUUGAACUGGAUGAUUUCUGCAUUCACUUCGACUUUGAAGCUUAUAGUUUGAAGACUAAAUUCAAGACUCAAGCCCUUCAGGACUUUUCCCUUCAUGAGUUCCAUACAAAUUGAGCACAUCUUAGUUCUCCUGCACUGGCAGUAUGGAUUACUUUAAUACGGACUUAUUUUGUUUCCCUGUUGUGUUAAAAAUGCCUGUCUGGUUUCCCCAACUAGACACCUUCUCAAGCCAUAUCAUCUAGUGAGUUUCCAAGUAUUUUAUCCUCAAAGUAAUAAUAAUAACUUCACUCAAGUACUCACAACAAUCCCAUGAAGUAGGUUCUAUUUUUAUUGUUCCUAUUCUGUAUAAGUGUGAACUAAGACCCAGGGAUAUUAAAUCAUUUCCCCAAGGGCACUCACCUAGUAAGUGGAAGGGUCAGGCUUUGAACUCAGGCACUCUGUCUUCUUAACCAUUAUCCUCUACUGCCUCUCAGGGAUUAUUUUUAAUAAUGUUUUUACUUCAUGAAAACCUUAUUUUGAAAUAUUUAUCUGUGUAAACUAAUUAGUUAUGAAUUACCCACUUUUCUAAGUAGCAACUUUUAUUAUUUUUUUUAAUUAGAGUCACAUAAAGAAUCUCCAACCACAGAGUAGAGCUAACUAGUAUGAUAACUAGACUAUACUCCCUAUAACAGCUAUUAGUGGAAUGGAUGAAUGAAUAAAUAAAUGAGAAACCUUACCUUAUCUAAUUUC